GACGAACGCUGGCGGCGCGCCUAACACAUGCAAGUCGAACGAGCGAGAGAGAGCUUGCUUUCUCGAGCGAGUGGCGAACGGGUGAGUAACGCGUGAGGAACCUGCCUCAAAGAGGGGGACAACAGUUGGAAACGACUGCUAUACCGCAUAAGCCCACGACCCGGCAUCGGGUAGAGGGAAAAGGAGCAAUCCGCUUUGAGAUGGCCUCGCGUCCGAUUAGCUAGUUGGUGAGGUAACGGCCCACCAAGGCGACGAUCGGUAGCCGGACUGAGAGGUUGAACGGCCACAUUGGGACUGAGACACGGCCCAGACUCCUACGGGAGGCAGCAGUGGGGAAUAUUGCACAAUGGGGGAAACCCUGAUGCAGCGACGCCGCGUGGAGGAAGAAGGUCUUCGGAUUGUAAACUCCUGUUGUUGAGGAAGAUAAUGACGGUACUCAACAAGGAAGUGACGGCUAACUACGUG
rnacentral:rRNA from 1 species